rnacentral:misc_RNA from 1 species
GAAAUGCGAUAAGUAAUGUGAAUUGCAGAAUUCAGUGAAUCAUCGAAUCUUUGAACGCACCUUGCGCUCCUUGGUAUUCCUUGGAGCAUGCCUGUUUGAGUAUCAUGAAAUCUUCAAAGUAAAUCUUUUGUUAACUCAAUUGGUUUCUACUUUGGUAUUGGAGGUCUUUGCAGCUUCACACCUGCUCCUCUUUGUUCAUUAGCUGGAUCUCAGUGUUAUGCUUGGUUCCACUCGGCGUGAUAAGUUAUCUAUCGCUGAGGACACUGUAAAAGGUGGCCAAGGUAAAUGCAGAUGAACCGCUUCUAAUAGUCCAUUGACUUGGACAAUACUUUUAUGAUCUGAUGUCAAAUCAGGUAGGACUACCCGCUGAACUUAAGC